rnacentral:rRNA from 1 species
CGAAUGGGGAGACUCAUCGUCAGCUCAUUUUAUAUAUAUGCUCGUUAUGAUAUGGGUUACUAUACUUGUGUAGUAUUGCCUGUACAUUCUGGUAUAUUUAAUUGUAAGAUGUUGUCGGCGUGCACUUCUCCCCUAGUAGGACGUCGCGACCCGUUGAGUAUGUUGGUCUACGGCCCAAGUGGAUGCUUUUAAUGAAUUUUUCAUAUUCAUUGAAAACCCUUGGUGUUUUCUGACUGGCACUCGUCGGUAUUCGUAUGGUAUUGAGCCGCAAUAUAUAUUAUAUGCGUCCAUAUCUGUCGCAAGCGAGGUUAGUAUAACUGAUAGUACGGACCUAGUGCCGUCGUUGGUGCUAAUCAGCUGUUGGUUGUACAGAAUUCUAGGACUGGCUUAUGUGAAAUACCGGUCAGCGAUGCUACUGCUUUGGGUACUUUCAGGACCCGUCUUGAAACACGGACCAAGGAGUCUAACAUGUACGCGAGUCAUUGGGAUUUUUAUAAAUUAAACCUAAAGGCGUAAUGAAAGUAAAGGUCGUCCUUGUGUCGACUAAGGGAGGAUAAGCUGUGUUACGAGACAGCUUCGCACUCUCGGGGCGUCUCAUUCUCAUUACGAGAAGAGGCGCACCUAGAGCGUACACGUUGG